CCUACGGGUGGCAGCAGGGAGGAAGAUUGGGCAAUGGACGAGAGUCUGAACCAGCAAAGUAGCGUGAAGGAUGACUGCCCUAUGGGUUGUAAACUUCUUUUAUAUGGGAAUAAAAUGUUCCACGUGUGGGCUUUUGUAUGUACCCUAUGAAUAAGGAUCGGCUAACUCCGUGCCAGCAGCCGCGGUAAUACGGAGGAUCCGAGCGUUAUCCGGAUUUAUUGGGUUUAAAGGGAGCGUAGGUGGGUUGUUAAGUCAGUUGUGAAAGUUUGCGGCUCAACCGUAAAAUUGCAGUUGAAACUGGCAGUCUUGAGUACAGUAGAGGUAGGCGGAAUUCGUGGUGUAGCGGUGAAAUGCUUAGAUAUCACGAAGAACUCCGAUUGCGAAGGCAGCUCACUGGACUGCAACUGACACUGAGGCUCGAAAGUGUGGGUAUCAAACAGGAUUAGAUACCCCUGUAGUC
rnacentral:rRNA from 1 species